CGGGGGGCUGCCGCCCAGCGCUGAUUGACAGCCCGCCUCGCCAAUGCCUGGAGGGAGAAAGGAGCGUUUCUUCUCCCUGGCUUCUGAAAACUGCUAAAUGAGGACACGUGGAUCACCAGGAAGAAAAGGAGAUGAGCAUGAGAGGGACAGUUAAGAAAUAAUGAAAUGCUGGUGAAAGACAGAAUGAGAUGCCAAGGAGAUGUUUCUUAGGCACUGAAAGGGCGUGGCGGCUCUAGAACCAGAGACACACAGCCUAGAAGGGAAAGAAGCAGUCUAACUGAAUAGUGACGGAGAUCUCAGUUCAUCCAAAUACAUCAUCCAUUCACCCAGCCCAAGGAGCCUCAGACUUGCAACGUGGUCAAGGAUGACCUUGAACUUCUGACUCUCCUGCCUGUAACUCUCAAUUGCUGGAGUUGUGUUUUAGGGUUUUUGCAGUGGGUGAUCAAAUGCAGGGCCUGUGCUUCC